rnacentral:rRNA from 1 species
AAUAUUGGACAAUGGGGGCAACCCUGAUCCAGCCAUGCCGCGUGUGUGGAGAAGGUCUUCGGAUUGUAAAGCACUUUAAGUUGGGAGGAAGGGCUUUAGGUUAAUUCCCUGAAGUUUUGACUUUACCAACAGAAUAAGCAGCGGCUAACCCUGUGCCAGCCGCCGCGGUAAUACAGAGGGUGAAAGUGUUAAUCGGAAUUACGGGGCGUAAAGGGGGCGUGGGUGGUUACGGAAGAUGGGUGGGAAAUCCCCGGGCUUAACCUGGGAACUGCUUUCAUAACUGCUGAGCUAGAGUACGGUAGAGGGUAGUGAAAUUUCCUGUGUAGCGGUGAAAUGCGUAGAUAUAGGAAGGAACACAAGUGGCGAAGGCGACUACCUGGACUGAUCCUGACACUGAGGUGCGAAAGCGUGGGGAGCAAAC